rnacentral:rRNA from 1 species
GUGCCAGCAGCCGCGGUAACACCAGCGCCACGAGUGGCUAUCACGAUUAUUGGGCCUAAAGCGUCCGUAGUCGGUUCUGUGCAUCUUCUGUGAAAUCGUUGCGCUUAACGUAACGGCACGCGGGAGACACGGCAGAACUUGAGAGCGGGAGGCGUGUAGGGUACUCCGGGGGGACCGGUAAAAUGGUAUAAUCCCCGGAAGACCACCUGUGGCGAAGGCGCUACACGAGAACGCAUCUGACGAUGAGGGACGAAAGCCAGGGGAGCAAACCGGAUUAGAUACCCCGGUAGUCC